UACAGAGGUCUCGAGCGUUGUUCGGAUUCAUUGGGCGUAAAGGGUGCGUAGGUGGCGUGGUAAGUCUGGUGUGAAAUCCCGGGGCUCAACCCGGGAACUGCGUCCGAUACUGGCAGGCUUGAAUCCGGGGAGAGGGAUGUGGAAUUCCAGGUGUAGCGGUGAAAUGCGCAGAUAUCAGGAGGAACACCGGUGGCGAAGGCGGGUCUCUGGGCCGUAACUGACGCUGGAGGAGCGAAAGCGUGGGGAGCGAACAGGA
rnacentral:rRNA from 1 species